UAAGGAAUAUUGCGCAAUGGGCGACAGCCUGACGCAGCGACGCCGCGUGGGGGAUGAAGGUCUUCGGAUUGUAAACCCCUUUCGGCAGGGAAGAUGGAACGGGUAACCGUUCGGACGGUACCUGCAGAAGCAGCCACGGCUAACUUCGUGCCAGCAGCCGCGGUAAUACGAAGGUGGCAAGCGUUGUUCGGAUUUACUGGGCGUACAGGGAGCGUAGGCGGUUGGGUAAGCCCUCCGUGAAAUCUCCGGGCCUAACCCGGAAAGUGCGGAGGGGACUGCUCGGCUAGAGGAUGGGAGAGGAGCGCGGAAUUCCCGGUGUAGCGGUGAAAUGCGUAGAGAUCGGGAGGAAGGCCGGUGGCGAAGGCGGCGCUCUGGAACAUAUCUGACGCUGAGGCUCGAAAGCGUGGGGAGCAAACAGGAUUAGAUACCCAAGUAGUCCCUGAG
rnacentral:rRNA from 1 species